UGUCCAGGCUGGACUUCAACUUCUGGGCUCAAGCAGUUCUCCUGCCUUAGCUUCCUGAGCAGCUAGUACUACAGGCACGAGCAACCAUGCCCAGGAAAUAUCCACAGAGACAUCCUAGACCCUCAAGAACCUUGCAUCUGUGUUCAAACAGUUGAAUUUAAACAAACAGGUAACAUUUUGAAUUAUAUUUUUAGGUUCCACACUUAUUGAGCAGUGGCUAAGAGCAAAGGACUAUGCAUAACGUACUGUGAAACUUAGUAAGAUUUUUGUUCCUGCAAUUCUAUGUGAGCCACUCUUAACCUGACUGGAAUUGUGUAUGGGUUCCCAAAUUGAGACUUUCACUGUGCUUGUACAACAACAGACGCAGUCAACAACAAAUAAUAUUCAACAGCCCCUGUGUGCAUUGGUGUUUAUAUAAUUCUAACAAUUACAAUAAGUACAGACACUUUAAAAAUUCCUACUAUGUACCAGCUUGUGUCCUAGGCCCUUUACUUGCAUUAAUUAAUUUGAUCCACAUAACAGUCUUACAUGGUUAUGAUAUUAGUUUCCUAGGGGUGUCUUAAUCAAUUGCCCCAAACUGGGUGGCUUACAACAACAGAAAUUUAUUUUUUCACAGUUGUGGAAGCCGGAAGUUCAAAAUCAAGAUGUCAGCAGUGUGUGUCAGUUCCUUCUGGAGUCUCGAGGAAGGAUCCGUUGUAUGAGUCUCUCCUUCCCUCUGUGCUGCAACUCCUGAAACCUGAAGUCUGUGACUCACCAGUUCUAAGCCCCAGAGUCCUGAUGGGGCACCUCAAGGAGACACUUCAGCCACCUAAGUCAGCUGGACCACCCCAUGACACAGUCAUGGAGGUUCCAGUCUGAAUUCAGAGUCAAUGAUAAGGGAGGCUUCCGUGGCAGAGUGAAAAGCACACACCUGAGAAAUGAAAAGAAAUGGCAAAGGUCACACGUCUCAGGAUGAAUUGCACUGUGUGUGACACCCUAGCUGAAAUCCUAUCCCACAGGACCAUCAGGUGAGCAAUUAAAGAAAGUGGCUGAAAUUGCUUCCAUGUUCUUUUUUCUCUUCUAAAAAUAUCUAUGCUGAGACUUUUUCCCCGUGUGUGUGUAUACACGUGUGUGUAUACACGUGUGUGUAUACAUGUGUGCAGCUUCCCAUGCUUGUGCAGGCCUCUGUGCUAAAGUCGGUGUCUUCAUUCAGACUGCACUUCAUUAUGGUUUUGCUUGAUGUCUGCCUCUCUCUUCCAUUGCCUUUCUUCUAAUUCAUGCUCUACAUUGCAGCAAGAAUGCCAUUCCUCUGUUUAAUAUACUUUCAUGGAUGCUCAUUUGUCUAGACACCUUCUCAUGGGACACAUUCUGCCUUCUACUUAUAACUUAUUUAUCUGCCUUCUUUUGCACAAUGACCACUUCUUCCUUAAAGAUCCAGUGUUGACAUCAUCUCUUCCAUUCACGGAGGCUUCCCAACUCUUCCAGGCAGAGUGAGUCAUCCAUUUCCCUGGGCUCCUCCGGCAUCUCAUAGAGACUUCUGUUGUGGAUUCCCCUGCUCUGUGCCACAAUGAUGUGUCGACAAGUUUGUCUCUCCCACAGCAUACACUGUGGGAUUCUUUAAAACAGAGAUGGUGUCAUGAAUUUCUGGUUUGGCAGGUUUGAAAAUAUUAUGCAGAACAUUAGUUUUUUUAAUAAAAGAAAAAUGAAUAAACAGAAGGAUAAAGCAUUAAGCUUAACCUCUAUAUAUACAGAACUCUGUAUCUGUAAAAAGAGGAUAAUAAAGAUACCCAGUUGUGGUAGAUUAAAUGAUUAACUGCAAUUCUUUACUCUUUCCUUUUGUGCCACAUGGGCAGAAGCUUGGGUGUGUUGCUCACUUUGGCAAAGAACAUGUGGGUAGACAUGAGAUGGUGCCAGUUCUAAGCCUGUACCUUAAGAAGAAUCACAGUGUCUCUUUACCUCUUUCCUUCUGCCAUUACCAUGAGAAGCAUUCUCUCUGGAUACCUGUUCGUAUUAUCCCUACAGCCUGGAAUGCAGUUUGAAGAUAUGUGCAGAAGAAAUGCCCAAGCCGACCCCGGACCUACAGUGAGAAGCAGAACAGCCCAGAGAAGCUCAGCCUAGGGCAACAGAGACAGCCUAGUCAACCUACAGAUCUGGGACAAUAAAUGCUUCUGCUUUUAAGCCACCGAGUUCUGGGAGGUGAUUUGUUCCACAGCAUUAUAGUGGCAAUAGCUGAUACUUCAACCUCAUUUAGUUUUUGUAAGGGCUAGAUCUGAUAAUUCAUGUCAAAAGCCCUAGAACGUGGUAAGCACAGAUAUUAGGAUUCACUAUUAUUAACAUUUGAUCUUUAUUAGCUUAUAAAACUAAGUAUUUUAUGGGAAAGAACAGUUGGAAGAAAAAGCAAGAAUCUAUUUAUCAAUUCAAUGAGAUUCUCAUAGCUGAACUUGGCAAUUUCUUUGAUAUUUGCUAAAAGCCUUUCAUAGAAUGUGAGGCAAGAUGAUGGGAGGCCUCAGAGGAUUCGAAUUUAAGCAGAAAGAAAGACAGUCUUGGCACAGUGGCUCUCCAGCAUGGGGGGUGCAUACCCGCUUCUGUUAUCAUUGGGAUGAUCCACCAGCUUUCCUAUGGCAUUUUCAUUUUGCAAAGCAUUUCAUUUAACAAUCCCUCACUUAACCACUCCUUGGAGCCAAUCUGUACACAAAAAUAGACAGUUACUUCCUAGAGACUGCGAAAAAGUGAGACUUCUAAAGCUUUAGCCAGUAGCCUCUCUUUGUUCAUUGAGGGGUCCCAUAGUCCCAUCUUCACCCCAAACUGCCCUUCUAAUCUCGAGGCUAAGAUGUCUAAUUGCUCCCAGAUAUCCACGACAUGAGGUCCCAGACUCAUGUCACGCUUAAGAUGUCAAAAACAGAAUCCAUCAUCUUCUCUCUGUAUCUAGGACCUUGGCCUCAAGCUGUGGCUCCAAUUGUGUCCUUAUCUCAGUACCCAAACCAGAACCUGGUGGCAUCCAUGACUCCUCUCUCUCAUUCUUCCUUUCUCUAUUCCUUUCCCCAGGCAUCCAAGUUCUAAUUAUUUCUCAGAUCACUCCACCUCACUCCAUCAUCACUUCUUUCACGUCACCUUUUGCCUGGUUAAUAGUAAAAACCUCCCUAUUUGUCUCCCUGUCUGAACUUCUCUAUCGUUUGCUCUUUCUGCUUUUUUUCAUAUUACUUAUCAUUGAUCACCAUCUUUUUUUUUUACUGUGCAUAUCUGUCUGUGUGUGUCUGUGUGAGUGUAUGUGCAUGUGUACGUGCUUUCCUAAGUAUACUUCAUUCUCCCUAUUGGAUUGUAAAUUCCUUGUCUUUAGGAGUCAUGCCUAGAAUUUUGUUCACACUCAAGAAAAAUUUGAUAGACCUAAUCAAAAUUCAGAUUAGAUAUUUAACCAAGCUCUCUGGAUAAAUGUUUCUACUCCUCCAUUCCCAUUCGUAUUGGUCCAUUCUCACACUGCUAAUAAAGACAUUCUUGAAACUGGGCAAUUUAUAAAGGAAAGAGGUU
rnacentral:lncRNA from 1 species